ACACAUGCAGUCGAGGGGUAGAGUUCUUCGGNNACUUGAGACCGGCGCACGGGUGCGUAACGCGUAUGCAAUCUACCUUAUACAGGGGAAUAGCCCAGAGAAAUUUGGAUUAAUGCCCCAUAGUGUUAUAGAAUCGCAUGGUUUUAUAACUAAAGUUCCAACGGUAUAAGAUGAGCAUGCGUCCCAUUAGUUAGUUGGUAAGGUAACGGCUUACCAAGACAAUGAUGGGUAGGGGUCCUGAGAGGGAGAUCCCCCACACUGGUACUGAGACACGGACCAGACUCCUACGGGAGGCAGCAGUGAGGAAUAUUGGUCAAUGGGCGCAAGCCUGAACCAGCCAUGCCGCGUGCAGGAAGACGGUCCUAUGGAUUGUAAACUGCUUUUAUACAGGAAGAAACCUCCCUACGUGUAGGGACUUGACGGUACUGUAGGAAUAAGGAUCGGCUAACUCCGUGCCAGCAGCCGCGGUAAUACGGAGGAUCCAAGCGUUAUCCGGAAUCAUUGGGUUUAAAGGGUCCGUAGGCGGCCUUAUAAGUCAGUGGUGAAAUCUCCUAGCUCAACUAGGAAACUGCCAUUGAUACUGUAGGGCUUGAAUUUUUGUGAAGUAACUAGAAUAUGUAGUGUAGCGGUGAAAUGCUUAGAUAUUACAUGGAAUACCAAUUGCGAAGGCAGGUUACUAACAAACGAUUGACGCUGAUGGACGAAAGCGUGGGGAGCGAACAGGAUUAGAUACCCUGGUAGUCCACGC
rnacentral:rRNA from 1 species